AUCUCACGGCCUCCCCCUGCCCUCCUCCCCGAUGCCGCCUCAUGCUCGCGCCGCCUUCGCCUCCGCUUGCGCUGGCGCCACCGCGUCCUCUCCCGUGCCGUCUGCCCCCAUUCGGCGGCGAUUCCAGUCAAGCCAGUGGUCGAUGCGCUGCCCCUGCCCCCGGCGGGCCAGCCGACCGCCAUUUCGGCCGGCCCCCGACUCGUCGCCCCCCGCCGUGCCGGCCACCCGACGCGACGUCCUCCCUCCACUAUCCUAUGCCGCCGCCGCCUCGUCGCUUGCUCUGGUGGGUCGUGUCCUCCUCGCAGUGCCGCCGCUGCCCCUGCUCUUCUUGUUGUUGCCAGUACCACCGCUCUUUCUUCUCGCACUCAAAUGUGUUGCAUUGACGCAACUCCGCUUUGCCACCAUGGGGCCAGAUCUGGUAGAGGGGAGGCCGUGCUGGGCAGAUUUGGUGGCCACGACCUCCCUGUUGGUGGAUCCGGACGCCUGAAGGCGAGGGCGACAACUAACGCAUGAGGCUCGUGGGCGGUGCUGGUGGUAGGAGGCGCCUCAGUCGCCUCGGUGGUGGCUGCCUCGACCUGACGAGCAGGGCGUCGGCAUGGAUUUUCUUGCUAUCAAUGCUACUUCAGCUUGAAGCCCAACUAGCGACCAAUGAAGCAAACGACUAAUCUAGAGAAGCUAGAAGGAUGACAAAUGAGGUGUUUACAGUGGGGGGAGAUGUUGAGGUGCUUGGCCAUCAAUAGAUAGGUUGGUAGUGCGCGCAAUGCACGCCGUCCAAUAGAAACAAGCAGGAAAGGAUAGAGGGAUAAGUACUUGGAGAAAGUACGAAGAAAAUAAGCCAAUUUUUUUUAUCUGCCUGGAUGCAUCCUCUCGAGAAAAAGACCGGGUCGACACCUCAAACUUCAAAGCGACGUCUUACCACUUCCCCAACCAUUCGUGCGUGCAACAGGAGAACGCCAACAUCUGAUCUGAUGCAGUAGUGAUCUCUUCUCCUCCAUGUACAGAACGACAACUCCAACUUGGAAAAUCACCAAAGUCUCAGAGCAAAAUUAUGGCAUUGCAACCCUAGGGAGUGUUUGUUUCUCUCUAACUUUUUUUAAUUAAGUCCCUAUCACAUCGAGUGUUUGUACACUAAUUAGAAAUAUUAAAUAUAGAUUAUUAAUAAAACUCACCUCAUUAUCUGAACUAUU